rnacentral:rRNA from 1 species
UACGAAGGGGGCUAGCGUUGUUCGGAAUUAUUGGGCGUAAAGCGCGUGUAGGCGGCUUUGCAAGUCGGGUGUGAAAGCCCUCAGCUUAACUGAGGAAGUGCGCCCGAAACUGCAUUGCUUGAGUACCGGAGAGGAUGGCGGAAUUCCCCAAGUAGAGGUGAAAUUCGUAGAUAUGGGGGAGGAACACCGGUGGCGAAGGCGGCCAUCUGGACGGAUACUACGCUGAGACGCGAAAGCGUGGGUGGCAAACAGG